GAGAAACCCCCCCCCCCCCCAAAGAAUCUGCAGAACCAGUAAAGGAGGGUGUCACCAUCUAGAUCUGUUUCACCGGGCAACUGCUUACACCUGCAAAUCUUCCAGUCGUACCUGCAUUAAGACGCUGCUGUGGUCAGUCUUUGUUCGGAUGUUUUACCUGUGACGGGACCUGCCUCGCCUCUCUGUGGUGGCCCCUUCUUUGCUCCUCUGUCAGGUUAGAGGAAACACCAGAUCAGCUAGAGCUGUAUGACGAAAC